CCGGCAGCAGAAAGUGGGUGGACCAUAUACACACCGGCUUUUGCCCACUCCUGACUCCAGGAUGGCUGAAGAAGCCCCCAAGGACCCCUCAAAGCCCAUCGGUGCCUGGGAGGAGACGAAACCUCCCCAAUGGAAGAGUUGGCAAAAGAGCCCACAGCAGAAGCAGGAGCUGUGUGUGCCUCAGCCCUUCCAUGCCGAUUCACCAGCCUACUGUAACGCCUGCUUGAUGAGGCUAGACUCGGAGGAGAAAGAGGCUCUGGAUUACA